rnacentral:lncRNA from 1 species
GUGAGGUGCUGGAACAGGUUGUCCAGACAAGUUGUAGAUGCCUCAUCCCUGGAGGUGUUCAAUUUGAUGAAGGAUGAGGCCCUGAGCAAACAGAUGCAGUAACUGUUACAGCAGAGGGCAACCCUGCCUGUGGCAGGGGAGUUGGAAUAUGAUGAUCUUUGAGGUCCAUUGCAAACCAAGCCAUUUUAUGAUACAACAAGGAAAAUGCAUUACAGUUAUAUAAACAAAAUCACAGGUGUAAUGGAAAGAGCUAGGUGGUGUACUCUAUUGCAAGGAGAGCCAGACAGUGCCAUGUAUUCCAAAGAGAUCCAGUUGGUGCGGUAUACUCCAAAGAGAGCCAGGUGUCUGUGUUGGGGACCUAAAGGCCCCUGACUGAAGAAUGAUCCUAGGAUGGAACAAAGUAUUCUGACAGUUUUAAGUGAAGUGGUAUUUGUGGCUCUAGCCACAAAUAUGACUGUGCGUAUGUUGAAUAAAACCCAUAACCCUGUGCUGCUCUAAGUGCAUAAUUUGCUUGCCUCUGCUCCUGAGACAUCCUGUCUCUCAGAUCCAGUUGUACCUUGAAACAGCGGCAUGGUAUAUUCCAAAGAGAGCCAGGCGGUGUGGUAUAUUCCAAAGAGAGCCAGGCAGCUUGGUGUUUUCCAAAAGGAGGCAGGCAGCAUGGUAUAUUUAUUUCAUAAAAGAGGCAGGUGGUGCAAUAUAUUCCAUAAAUGAGGCAGGUGGCAUAGUAUGUUCCAUAGAAGAGGCAGGUAGCACAGUACAUUCCAUAAAAGAGGCAGGUGGCGUGGUAUGUUCCAUAAAAGAGGCAGGUGGUGUGGUAUAUUCCAGGAGGAGGAAGACGACACAGUAUUUUCCAAAAAAAGACACAGGCAGUGUAGUAUAUUCCAAAUAAGAGGCAGGUGUCUUAGUAUAUUCCAAAGAAGAUGCAGACAGCAUAGUAUAUUCCAGAGAAGAUGCAGGCAGUGUCACAGAUUCCAAGAAGAGGCAAGCAGAGCAGUAUAUUCCAAAAAAAAAAGAGGCAGGCAGUGCAAUAGAUUGCAAAAAAGAGGCAGGCAGCCUAGUAGGUUCCAAGAGCCAGGUAGCAUAGUAGUUUCUAAGAAGAGCCAGGUGUUGUAGUAGAUUCCAAGAAGAGGCAGACAGCAUAGUAGGUUACAAGGAGAGGCAGGCAGCAUAGUAGAUUCUCAGAAGAG